rnacentral:ncRNA from 12 species
AAUUAUUGAAGUAGAGAUUGUGCUGCUACACACCCACAGGGUUAAAAGAAAUGCGGGAUAGGGCACACCCGCCAAUAAUU